CCAGCCGCCGCGGUAAGACGGAGGAUGCAAGCGUUAUCCGGAAUGAUUGGGCGUAAAGCGUCCGCAGGUGGCAGUUCAAGUCUGCUGUCAAAGACCGGGGCUCAACCUCGGAAAGGCAGUGGAAACUGAACAGCUAGAGUAUGGUAGGGGCAAAGGGAAUUCCUGGUGUAGCGGUGAAAUGCGUAGAGAUCAGGAAGAACAUCGGUGGCGAAGGCGCUUUGCUGGACCAUAACUGACACUCAGGGACGAAAGCUAGGGGAGCGAAUGGGAUUAGAUACCCCAGUAGUCCUAGCCGUAAACGAUGGAUACUAGGUGUUGUCUGUAUCGACCCGGACAGUGCCGUAGCUAACGCGUUAAGUAUCCCGCCUGGGGAGUACGCAGGCAACUGUGAAACUCAAAGGAAUUGACGGGGGCCCGCACAAGCGGUGGAGUAUGUGGUUUAAUUCGAUGCAACGCGAAGAACCUUACCAGGACUUGACAUGUCGCGAAUCUUUUGGAAACAGAAGAGUGCCUUAGGGAGCGCGAACACAGGUGGUGCAUGGCUGUCGUCAGCUCGUGUCGUGAGAUGUUGGGUUAAGUCCCGCAACGAGCGCAACCCUCGUGUUUAGUUGCCAUCAUUAAGUUGGGAACUCUAAACAGACUGCCGGUGACAAACCGGAGGAAGGUGGGGAUGACGUCAAGUCAGCAUGCCCCUUACGUCCUGGGCUACACACGUACUACAAUGGUAGGGACAGAGGGCAGCCAACUCGCGAGAGUGAGCUAAUCCCGUAAACCCUGCCUCAGUUCAGAUUGCAGGCUGCAACUCGCCUGCAUGAAGGCGGAAUCGCUAGUAAUCGCAGGUCAGCAUACUGCGGUGAAUCCGUUCCCGGGCCUUGUACACACCGCCCGUCACACCAUGGAAGUUGGCCACGCCCGAAGUCAUUACUCUAACCUUUCGAGGGGGAGGAUGCCGAAGGCAGGGCUGAUGACUGGGGUGAAGUCGUAACAAGGUAACCAA
rnacentral:rRNA from 1 species